rnacentral:rRNA from 1 species
AUCUAAGGCCAUGCCACCCUGAACAUGCUGGAUCUUGUCUGAUCUCGGAAGCCUGGUUAGUACUUGAAUGGGAGACCACCUAGGAAGACCUGGUGCUGUAGGUG